rnacentral:lncRNA from 1 species
UUACUAUACAUACGGUACAUCACCACACAUUUCACAAUGUCUUUUCACCAGCAUUAACUGUAAUGUCCACUUCUGAGAGUACAACAUACAGUAAAACUGGUAAGUUGCUAAUAAUAGCUUUUCUGGUUAUUUUAGAUUAAAUCUGAUAAAUUAUUUCCUUCUAAAAACUGAUGGCUCUUGCAAUGUUAUUUUUAUAUUAGCAGACCUCCAAACCAAGAUAAACCCACCAAUCAGUACAGCAAAGGAAACCAUGAAUACAUUGUUAAUAGUGCUGGUCUCCAUUGGUGUUGCUGGAAGUUUGUCUGGACUCAUGGGACUCUAAUAGUUACUUUAGUAAAGGUAAAAAGGAAACGUAAACGUAGUUUGUUUUUUUUUUUUUUUAUGCAUUCAAUUCAGUAGUCUGUGAUAUUUUGUUUUUCUUUUAGCAAAAAAUAAUUUUGUAGUCAAGUAGCUGUGUGUGUAGAUGUUUAGCUUCCUAUCUGAUAUAUGCAUGCAUGAAAGGUGUCAUAAAUAUCAAUAUUUGAUUCUUAGCAUUAAAAUGAGAUCAAUAAAAACAGAUGUGCCCAUUCAAGAAACUGGUAUAAGUUGUUCUGGAUCUGCAGAGAUGUAUUCUCUGAUCACUUCUGUACCAGAAACAUCUCAGCCCAUAUCUGCAGGUAAGAAAACAUACUUCUCAGGAAAUGAUCUCAGAUCAAUUAAAGACAUAGUAGCUCACCACCAACUGAUACUUAUAGUUAUAGGAACAUUGUUCAGAGACCACAGUUUCUCACAUUUCCCCUUCAAGUCUUCAGCAGAUCCAUAUUAUUAGCCACAUCUUCUCUUAAAGGAACAGUUCACACCAAACUGAAAAUCAUUAACCAUAAACGUCUCAUAAAAGUAGUGCAAACAACUUAAGUUUUAUAUUCCAAGUCUUCAGAAGUCAUAUGAAAAUCGUUUCCCUUUAUUGUGUAGAUUGCUGCAGUGAUGAUGUAUUUUUGUAGGCCAAUCCAGAAGUCAGAAUUUAUUUAAUUUUAUUUUCAUUUUGAAGCCUAUAAUCCCCAGAAGUAAAAAGCUAUAAACGUAGGCUAUAAACAAGAUAUACC